rnacentral:lncRNA from 1 species
UCUCUUCUACCUCCCUCCAUUGCUAAGCCAAUAACGAAAUACAUACAGUGAAUACAGCUAAACCCCAAUUACACUCACACAAGAAACAAGAAUGACAUGAGAGAGCUAGAAAGCUUCAAAGCUACAUUGAACCAGAACCACCAAUGGCCACCAGUGGAAGCUCCGGCGAGAGGAGCCUUGGAUAUCUCAGUUAGACUACUCGUCAACACUGUUUCUUCAAAACUUGGUUACCAGUCUCCCAAAGUUAGUAUCUUUAUUUCUCAAUUCGUG